GAUGAACGCUGGCGGCGUGCCUAAUACAUGCCAGUCGAGCGAACGGACGAGAAGCUUGCUUCUCUGAUGUUAGCGGCGGACGGGAGAGUAACAUGUGGAUAACCUACCUAUAAGACUGGGAUAACUUCGGGAAACCGGCGCUAAUACCGGAUAAUCUUUUGCACCGCAUGGUUCAAAAGUAAAAGACGGUCUUGCUGUCACUUAUCGCUGGAUCCGCGCUGCAUUAGCUAGUUGGUAAGGUAACGGCUUACCAAGGCAACGAUGCAUAACCGACCUGAGAGAGUGAUCGGCCACACGGGAGCUGAGACGGGGUCCAGACUACUGCGGGACGCAGCAGUAGGGUAUCUUCCGCAAUGGGCGAGAGCCUGACGGAGCAACGCCGCGUGAGUGAUGAAGAUCUUCGGAUCGUAAAGCUCUGUUAUUAGGGAAGAACAGAUGUGGAAGUAACUGUGCACAUCUUGACGGUACCGAGUCAGAAAGCCACGGCUAACUACGUG
rnacentral:rRNA from 1 species